rnacentral:lncRNA from 1 species
UGGGGAUGAAAGGCAUGUGCCCUUGGGGGUAGGGACUAGGAUAUGAGAGAAUGGUCAGAGAAACUGCUGGCCAUGCCCUGUGAGAGGGGAAUUCUGGGAGUCCUGCUCCUGCUUCCCAGCUCUCAGCCCCAGACAGCUCUAAGGCUGGAAGUCCCUGCUUUAAAAACAGAUCAGAGAGGAUGACAAGGAUCCAGCUACAGACUCCAUUAGCAACAGGGGAGCAAAGUGCAUCUCCUCAUCCCAGCUCUGGGUCAGGGGAAGGUCGCCUGUGGAUGUGUGAGUUGACAUUGCCUUCUCUCCCCUAGGAGCCCCACUCUGGUGAAGAACAUGAUCUCCGGCCUCAGUUAUGGGGCACUUAACGCCAGCUACCAGGCUGCCCUGGCAGAGAGCAGCUUCCCUCUCCUCAGCAGCCCCGGCAUGCUGAACCCUGGCUCAGCCAGCAGCCUUCUGCCCCUCAGCCAGGAUGACAUGGGCGCCCCUGGGGAACCACUACCCAGCAAUGGGAGCAGCAGCCCCCCUCGCCUCUCCCCUCCUCAGUACAGUCACCAGAUACAAGUCAAAGAGGAGCCUGCUGAGGCAGAGGAAGACCGACGGCCGGGACCUCCCCUGGGCGCCCCCAACCCCAGCACUGUGGGGCCUCCAGAAGACAGGGACCUGGAGGAGGACCUGGCAGGAGAGGACAUGUCCUAAGGGCUGGGUGGGCAGGCAGGGCAGAACAAGACCCUGCCGCCCAGUCUGGACCCCGGCCCACCCACCCCACUUUACAGCCCCUCCAACCUCAAGGCACUUCGGGGACUUGGACAGGGGAGACCUGGGCCCCACGCCACCUGACUGACAGACGCCUGGGGGCAGGCACAUCCCUGCCUCCCCAAGAGAACACAGAAUCCUUGGACUGGGACCUAUAGAGGACAUGGAGGGCCCAGACCCUCUCAGCCCCUCCCUGUAUUCCCAACCACCACCAGCAGCAGCAGGGCUCUCCCUCCCCACCAGCGCUCCCCUCCAGGGCCCCUUAGCACAGGGGAGACCCGCAGGCGGGGCUGAGCCACCCCCACAAACCCUACCUUCAUCCCCUCUGCCCUGUCAGUGGCAGAGGUUUCUGGCCAGAGGACCCUUCCUGGUUCAUCUUCCCUCACCUUCUUUUCCCAACUGUGAAAAUUAGUUCUCCAGCCCCAGCUUCCCGUUCGAUGGGGCGAGCAGGCUGGGGGUACACCUGCAGGCCAGCCCCUCAGCUGCUGGGGUGGAGCAAGUUGUGCCCUGCCCUCCCCUACCCCACCCCCGACCUGAGACAGGAUCCAGACUAAGCAGGCCUCCACCCCACCCUGUUUGCUGGGUACUCCUGCGGCACCCCGACUUGAGGAAGCACUGAGGGACCCCCAUGCUGGGCACCUUCAGAGCUGUGUGCAUAGGUGGCCUCUGCCCAGAGCAUCACAGCACGAAGUAAGCCAGGCUGGAACUACCCUCACCCCAGCCUAGGGGUCCCCUGAAUUGGGGUCCUCUCACCCCCCUCAGCACCCCUUCCUGUCCCCCCUCCCCUCCCCUCCUCCCAGUUAAACGGAUGACCAAAGACCUUUCUUAUGCCGGAAGCAAAAACCAAAACUUUUUGUUGGCUUUUUCUUUUGCCGCCUCCCCGAGCAUCCUGCCCUCCCAACCCUGCCUCCUGGCCCCAGGCUGGAAGCCCCUCCUUCACUUAAGUUAUUGUUUUAAACCAAAGUUUACAGUGUCUGUUGGUGGCAAGACCCCCUUUCUUCCCUCCCCCCAAGGGUCCAGGGGUCCUAUUCACUUCCCCCUCUGCUCUUACCUUGCCUACGGAGAUAGGAGAGGGCAGAACCCUGCCCCAACCCUGGGCUGCUUUCUGAGGGGGCUCCUCAGAUGCCUCCAUAGGACCAAGUCCCCAUCAUGCCGGGAGUGUGGAUUCUAGCAGAAGAGCUAGAAACGAUGAGAUUCCACAGACCCCCUAUGGGGGACCCACAACCCAAGGCCACGCACGGACUGGGUGUAAGGGAUGCCUAGAACACCCUGACCAGGCCCCUUCCCUUAGAAAGACUUCUUGGGUAUUUCCCAGGAGAACCCCACAUUCACCACCAACCCUCUAUCCCUACCCUACACACAAGCUGCCCUCCUGAGAGGCAAGGGGCACCCCCCGGCCUUCCCCUAUGUAUCCCCACCUGUGUUCCGUUUGACCCAGCACAGAAAUAUUAAAAUCCUCUAUUUACCGGG